UACGUAGGGUGCAAGCGUUAAUCGGAAUUACUGGGCGUAAAGCGUGCGCAGGCGGUUUUGUAAGUCUGUCGUGAAAGCCCCGGGCUCAACCUGGGAAUUGCGAUGGAGACUGCAAGGCUUGAAUCUGGCAGAGGGGGGUAGAAUUCCACGUGUAGCAGUGAAAUGCGUAGAGAUGUGGAGGAACACCGAUGGACGAAGGCAGCCCCUGGGUCAAGAUUGCGCUCAUGCACGAAAGCGUGGGGAGCAAACAGG
rnacentral:rRNA from 1 species